ensembl:lncRNA
UGAUCAUCCAAGCCAAUCCAAUCAGUCCAUCACUUCCCACCCAAAAACAGACCCAAAAACAGACCUUGUUUCAGUGGUCACCGAAACAAGAACAAUGUACACAGGUAACCAAGAAAAAGCGCUGUGAGAAGUCCUCUAAUUCAAAUAAAGUGACUUGAUUCCACCAAACAGAUUGACAAUACUGAGAACAAACACUAAGGUAAAACGCUCCCUAAAAUGCUCUUUCACUUACUUUGAAUUGUGUAGUUUCUAGCUGUUUUUAUACUGGAGGCUAGCUGUUAUGUGUGAUAAUGUUGAUUACAGAAAUAUAUAUACAUAUCAGUGAUACAUCAUUUGAAUGUAUGAUUAGUUUUGUUUGGGGUGAUGAAAAAUGUAUAAUUUCAAUAAUUUCAUUAUAUGUGAUAUAUCUUUUCUAAAUGAGAUGUGUAUUUUAGCCAAAUCUUCCCAUUUUGUUUCGAUGACAGAUGCCAGGGAAACUGAAGCUAGUUGCUCUCCUCUUGCUCAUUCAAGCAUGUGUGUCCAUAGUGGCCCAGACGCCAGCCCCAGAGGACUCUGUCUCUGAGGGGGUUCUGCAGAGGGCAUCAGAGACAUACAGGGCAGCCAAAGUUAAAGCCCAGAGAAUAAGAGAGGCGGUGCAGGCCUUUGCUGGUGCGUACUACGAGGACCACAUCAAACCAGUGGCUGAUCCCUACAUCUACAUGGACUGGGCCUCAGCCUCCACCAGUUCCUUCUGGGACAGAGUCAAGGAGAAGAUCGACCAGUACAGACCCAUCUAAUGGCAACUGAAUCUUAGGCAGACGAACACCCACCCAGCUCACUGCCAGCACAUAUACUCAUGCAAGGUGAUACUAGGACUGAUUCUAUGUUCAUAUGCACUAGGGAUUACAACUAGGACAUUUGUGUUACAAUGUUUCAGAAGAGCGCUUCAACACGGUUGUAUAAUUUGGCCGGUGAACGAGGACACCCGUUUACUAGUGUUUCAUCAACCACAGCACAAGGGUUGUGAUAGUUUUAAAACUGCCAUAGAGUGUAUUAGUAAUCAAACCAUUAUGGCUCACAUAUUGCAUCUAAGUGAGUCAAUUAACUAUUGUGAACCACCAAAUGAAUGAACACUAAAUAAAAUAAAUUGUACAAUUAUAGUGUUGUGCCUUUUCAUAAACUUUCCCUUGACAC